GCGGGAGUAGCUCAGUUGAUAGAGUGUCAACUUCCCAAGCUGAAUGUCGCGGGUUCGAAUCCCGUCUCCCGCUCCA
rnacentral:tRNA from 1 species